rnacentral:tRNA from 1 species
GGAAGCAUCCGCAAUGGCCGCGGGUUGAGCUGUAAACUCAAUAGUUAAUAAGCUAGAAAAGGUUCGAUUCCUUUGCUUCCU